GGGUGGGUGGGAUGUCUGCUCCUCUUUCCCUGCCUGCCUUGUUGCUCGUUUUACUUGGUGGAUAUGUUGGGAAUUUAUUUCCUUGUGGGUUUUUCACCUGAGUCCUCUGGAUCUCCUUGAAGAAAGGUGUCUGGAGGGGGGCAGCUGCUGAGAGAUGGCUCUGAAGGCUCUGAGUGAUCGUUCUGGAAGUUUCUGAGCAGCCCUGGGUGUCUCUCAGCAGUGCUGUAUCAAAAGCUGUCAGUGUUGGUGUCUGUGCAAAAUGGAAGAGAAGGAGUUAAUGAAAUCAAGGAUUAAGUCCUUAAUCUGUGCCAGGAGUGCAAGAAAUGUAGAUUUUUUUUUUUUUGUCACAUGCUAGAGAAAGCCACAAAGGACAAGCAUGAGGAUUUUCAGCUCUCUCAGAAGCCUCCUCUGACCACGCUCCCCUGGGUUCCUUUUCAGCUGAUGCAGUGACCCCAAGGAUCAGGGGAUGAAUUAGAAAAAUGCUCCCAUUCUCCUGGAAAUGAAGAGCUCAGAACUGAGGAGAAAGGAAUAUCUGAAUCACAGCCACAAGAACAUACAGAAGGCAUCACGCUCCAAAAAUAAAUUCCUGGGAAAGUAAAGCCUGCUUGACUGGAGUUUAACUGAGUGGCAGUUGAGGUACGUGGAAAGAAGAUCUCGUUUCCAAAGGAAGCAGCUCGUGUUUA